UGGCAGGACCGAAUUGUUCAACUAUUUGAAAGGAACACAUAUUCGGUUGUUAACAUCUUUGACGUGACCUUGCGUCCUCAACUUAAUGUGACUGGUGUGGUUGAGAUUCCAGAAGGAAAUGGCUCUGGAGUAGUUUGGGAUGAGGAGGGCCACAUCGUGACAAAUUACCACGUAAUUGGCAACGCCCUUUCAAGAAACCCAAGCACUGGUCAAGUUGUUGCACGAAUCAAUAUUCUAGCGUCGGAAGGGGUUCAAAAGAAUUUUGAAGGUACACUCAUUGGAGCUGACCGUUUAAAGGAUCUAACUGUCUUGAAGGCAUGUUUUCUUUUCUACUUUUCAGAUUUGUUCGCAAUAAAUUGAGGUUGAAGUUGAAAUUAAGUGGUUGAUUCAUGAUGUAUAUUGUGAAAGGUUAUGAAUGUGGUAUAAGAUGAAGAGAUCUUUAGUCGCAAGUUAAGGCCUUGAUUUGAUUGUGUAUGUUUUAUGUUCUUGAGUUGAAACUCAUAUGGAUAAUGGAAUGCAGAUCCUUUCGUACGCAAUUCAUAGGCACCUAUGGAAUGCGUUGCGUACGAAAUGAUCUACAUUCAUAAACUUGUGAGCAAUUUUUUCUUUUUCAUGUAAAUCAUUUGUUAUUCUAAGCAAUCUACUUAACAACAUAUCCAUAAUUUUGUUUUUAACA